rnacentral:rRNA from 1 species
GACGAACGCUGGCGGCGUGCUUAACACAUGCAAGUCGAACGGCAAGGCCCUGCUUUUGUGGGGUGCUCGAGUGGCGAACGGGUGAGUAACACGUGAGUAACCUGCCCUUGACUUUGGGAUAACUUCAGGAAACUGGGGCUAAUACCGUAUAGGAGCUCCUGUUGCAUGGUGGGGGUUGGAAAGUUUCGGCGGGUGGGGAUGGACUCGCGGCUUAUCAGCUUGUUGGUGGGGUAGUGGCUUACCAAGGCUUUGACGGGUAGCCGGCCUGAGAGGGUGACCGGCCACAUUGGGACUGAGAGACGGCCCAGAGUCCUACGGUAGGCAGCAGUGGGGAGUAUUGCACAAUGGGCGGGAGCCUGAUGCAGAAACGCCGCGUGCGGGAUGACGGCCUUCGGGUUGUGAACCGCUUUCGCCUGUGACGAAGCGUGAGUGACGGUAAUGGAUAAAGAAGCACCGGCUAACUACGUG